GGGGACGUGGCGGAAUUUGGCAGACGCGCCUGAUUUAGGAUCAUGUGUCAUUAUGACGUGCGGGUUCGAGUCCCGCCGUCCCCA
rnacentral:tRNA from 1 species